rnacentral:tRNA from 1 species
GGCCCAAUGGUCUAGUGGUAUGAUUCGCCCUUCGGGUCUUACAACCCGUGUGUAUUGCACACUCACUGGGCGAGGUCUUGGGUUCAAUUCCCAAUUGGGCCC